UCUGUUCUCUGGUGAGCACGCGCGCACAGAGUAAGCUUCAACCAAUCGGACGCCGCCACUUGGCACCUUGCUACAGAACACGCACAGGAGUUCGCUACAGCGUUCAGGAGUUUUCUGUUGCUGUUUUCUUCAGAUUCUUCUUCUAACUUCAAUUAGCUAUAACUUCUAUUCUGUAUAUCCAAUUUAGGUGAUUCUUUUUCCUACGCACUCACAAAAAUCAGCACAAUAUCACAGUACCAACUUUGCACAUGCUUGCUCUGUUCAAAUUUGAAUUCGUUUGAAUUUGAAUUAAACCUUCCAGAGGCCAUAACUCUCAAACCGUUUAUCGGAAUCGAGUGAUUCUUUUUGCGUUGUGACCGUAGUGCAAUUUAGGUGAUGUUAAUAUUCUGUUGUUGAGUUUUAAAAAUGGUUUUGUUGCUGUUGGUUUUGUUUUGGUUCUAUUCGUGUUCCGGUGAUUGAUUGUUGAAUUGUGUGAAACGUGUAGAUUGUCCGGAGUGCGACGCGAGCUAUUGUCAGGAGUGUGACUUUCUGAACCAGAACCAAGGCAAGUUACAUGUUGAUCAUCCUUUACCUAUUGUUUUCUAUGCAUGUAGUUAUAUCACACUAUGAAUAUAUGCAUGUAUAAGAGUAUUAUAUAUUUUGGCUAUGCUGAUGAGCUAUCUUCCCGUCUUUGCAAAUCGUGGUAGUGGUAGGUUGCUAUGCUUUGUAGACGGGGGUGGUUCGUGUAUUCAUUGAGUUUAUGUGAGGAUUAUAUAUAUUUAACAAAUUGAGUAGUAACUCAGGAUUUAACUCACCUCUGGGCGGAAGUGGUAUUGCUUGGUGUUGAGGGAAGGCAUCAUGGGGUCUUGCACCUUUUCUAAGGCCAUGCGCUCAUGAGAGUGCACCCUAAGUGGAAUGCCGCCCAGGCUCAAAAAGAUCAGACAGACUUAGUGACUAGUAGCUUCCAUGUGCGGCCACUGGCUAUAUGGGCUCUGGCUUAGUUGAUCAGUUGUUGGAACCCUUGCCCAGACUGUGUCGAUAGAUGUAGCAUAUGUAGGUGGGAUGUGGCCAUCAGGUGGUUAAGGGAACCUCUUCUGAAAGACUUCGUCUCAAUCUUCGGAUUGGGUCCAGUGGGUAAAGCGUACAAAACUCUGCAGAGUAUUAAAACUAAUCAUGAUUAGCCGUGCCCCGGGUUAUGGGUAACUUUGAGCCACUAUGCCAUUACAGUUGUUGGAUGAUCUUGACAGAUGUGACAAUUAAUAAAUUUGUUGGGAAACUUAAUAAAAGGGUAGGUUGGAGUUGAUUUUGCCAACUCAACCUUGUGCAUUUAAUUGUAGUAAUAAAAGAACUAUAUAAAAAUUUGACUAUUAGGUAGUUAUGAGGACAAAAUCAGCUUUCUGCAAAAUAAACCCCCAAGCCUUCCUUUGUUGUACUAUGCAUAUACAUGUAGGUCUGCUUUAUUAUUACUCCUGUGUAACUUGCCAAUACAUUCCAAGUAUUGACCUAUAUGGCUGCAACGUCUCAUGUUGCAGGACAUUCAGACGAAGAGUAAGGUACCGUUAGGGUCGCGAGUCUGCACUCAGCAUCGCCAGUGGGCUAUGAUGGGACUCAUCGUUAUUUUCUGCUACUUUCCGCUGUUUGAUUGAAUAAAGCUAGCCAAGUGCUAUGCAGAUUGUUUUAUUUUAUAUAUUCUAGAUCAUACGAUGUAAUAAAUGAUGCACUUGCUAUUCUGGUAUUUAUCUAUACUAUGUGUGCUAGCGAGUUCGAUCCAGGGACUAGCACGGUAAGCACAGAGACUCAAAUCCUUCGAGGUUUGGUCGUUAC
rnacentral:lncRNA from 1 species